GGUUCCUGUCACUCUCUCAAUAUCAAGAUCUAAAAAUUAUGUCACAUUAUUUAACAGUCAACUGAAGUCAACUGAAUCGCAGUUUGCCCCCUUUGCUUUCUUGGGCAGCAAUAUCUCCUCGCUUAUUUGGCCCAGUAGCGGCGGACUCCUCAUUUUUACCAUUGGGUGGCGUUCUCAUCAUUUUGGAGUUCCUUCGGAAAGGAUUCUCCGAUGUUAGCCCAAUACUAUUUUCAGAGGCCAUGUCCUCUGCGAAAGAAUAGUUUGGGAACACCCUUUGUUUCUGUCCCAAACAGCUGAUCGACCAACACAAAAAACGGCAGAACAAAAAAUUAUUAAAUGCACGUUAUUGGAAGGGGAAAAGGCUAUAUUUGCCAAAUUUUGCCAAAAAACGGAAAGAUUUGGUAUCCACACAUGUGGUUCACUAUCUGGGAUGUUUCACUCGAACAACCACUAUUUUUCACAACAAAAAUACUGGAUAUCUACAAAGUUUUUGGAUCGCAAAAAAAAA